rnacentral:rRNA from 1 species
AGUAAAAGUCGUAACAAGGUUUCCGUAGGUGAACCUGCGGAAGGAUCAUUAAUGAACCUUUGAGGGUUGAGCUGGCGAUUAACUUCGCAUGUGCUUGCCCUCUCAAUCUUUUAUACACCUGUGCAUCUCUGAGGGGACAGUAGGCCAUUACCUUUUGGGUUAAGGUCGAGAUCCCCUUUAACAUACACUUUAUUUAUUUAUGAAUGUUCAAACGCUUAACAGCAUUUAAAUACAACUUUUAACAACGGAUCUCUUGGCUCUCGCAUCGAUGAAGAACGCAGCGAAAUGCGAUAAGUAAUGUGAAUUGCAGAAUUCAGUGAAUCAUCGAAUCUUUGAACGCACCUUGCGCUCCCUGGUAUUCCGGGGAGCACGCCUGUUCGAGCGUCAUGAAGCUCUCAAACACUAUCUUUUCUUAACUGAGAAGGGUGGCCGUUUGGAUUUGGACUCUGCCGUGUAACAAACGGCUGGUCCGAAAGAUAUUAGCUGAUCCUAGCGAAGCUUGGUUCUACUCGGCGUGAUAAUUAUCUGACGUCGAGGACAUCGCAAGAUGGCCAAAAUUUGUUUUAUGGAUUGCUUCUAAUCGUCUUCAUCGACAACACAUCAUCAAUCUGACCUCGAAUCAGGCGGGACUACCCGCUGAACUUAAGCAUAUCAAUAAGCGGAGGA